CAUCCGCCAGGGUCUAUGCCUUUAUCGUCGCGCGUCUGGAUUGGGCAGAAUAGUACGUCAUUAGGAUGAUUGCAUGCGUUUAAAAGUAAAACUUGUGCUUCUGGGUUGCAACAACUAUCACCAAAGUUAGCUUUUGAAUUUUUAAUAACAUCGAGGAGAGCUUUUGAACUGUAGAAUACAGGUAACUGUGGAAUACAGGUAGUCGGCCCCCCAUCUCUUCUCGCAUGAUGGUAGAGCUUAUUGCUACUUUAGAUACCGUCAAACAUGUGAAUAAGUCCUCCGCUGCUUCUAGGGAGGUGAUGUUGGGUACUUCUUCAAGUCCUUGAAUGUGCAUUGGCGAGCCUCAUCCCAAAGUGCAUACUUCUCUGCCAAAGCAAAAGAGUCUGCCAGAGUUAGAUCUUCUUUCAUGAUCAAUUUUCCGAAUAGCGGGUGGUCUGCUGGAAGUCCUUUUUGGAAGGUUGCUCUAGCUAUCGAGUCGUUGCAUCCGACUAUUUUUGCCUUCUCUACUUUGAACCUCCUCACAUAGUCGUGAAGUGACUCAUUUGGGUUCUUCUUGACGUUGAACAAAUGAUCAGAUUUCUUUUUGAUCGAGCGAUAGGAUGAAUAUUCUUU
rnacentral:lncRNA from 1 species